rnacentral:rRNA from 1 species
AGACAGCAGCAGCCGCGGGAAUACGUAGGUCCCGAGCGUUGUCCGGAUUUAUUGGGCGUAAAGCGAGCGCAGGCGGUUAGAUAAGUCUGAAGUUAAAGGCUGUGGCUUAACCAUAGUACGCUUUGGAAACUGUUUAACUUGAGUGCAAGAGGGGAGAGUGGAAUUCCAUGUGUAGCGGUGAAAUGCGUAGAUAUAUGGAGGAACACCGGUGGCGAAAGCGGCUCUCUGGCUUGUAACUGACGCUGAGGCUCGAAAGCGUGGGGAGCAAAUAGGAUUAGAUACCCGCGUAGUCCCUGUCUCUUAUACA